AUUUUAACACAGAAUAAAUGUUAUUAAUUUGAUAAAGUGCUGAUAGAUUUAUAUGAUUACAGUGCGUUAAUUUUUCGGAAUUAUAUAAUGGCAUAAUUAUCAUUGAUUUUUAUGUUUAUUAUAUGCACUUGUAUGAUUAACAAUGCGAAAGAUUCAGGAUACCUUCGGGACCCGUCUUGAAACACGGACCAAGGAGUCUAACAUAUGUGCAAGUUAUUGGGAUAUAAACCUAAUAGCGUAAUUAACUUGACUACUAAUGGGAUUAGUUUUUUAACUAUUUAUAGCUAAUUAACACAAUCCCGGGGCGUUCUAUAUAGUUAUGUAUAAUGUAUAUUUAUAUUAUUUAUUCCUCUAACUGGAACGUACCUUGAGCAUAUAUGCUGUGACCCGAAAGAUGGUGAACUAUACUUGAUCAGGUUGAAGUCAGGGGAAACCCUGAUGGAAGACCGAAACAGUUCUGACGUGCAAAUCGAUUGUCAGAAUUGAGUACAGGGGCGAAAGACCAAUCGAACCGUCUAGUAGCUGGUUCCUUCCGAAGUUUCCCUCAGGAUAGCUGGUGCAUUUUAAUAUUAUAUAAAAUAAUCUUAUCUGGUAAAGCGAAUGAUUAGAGAGAUCAGAAGAGCAC